rnacentral:tRNA from 1 species
UGCCGGGUCGUUCAAUGGUAGGACGCGUGGUUUUGGUCCACGUCAUGAGGGUUCGAAUCCUUCCCCGGCAACCA